rnacentral:rRNA from 14 species
UUGACGGUACCGUAAGAAUAAGGACCGGCUAACUCCGUGCCAGCAGCCGCGGUAAUACGGAGGGUCCGAGCGUUAUCCGGAAUCAUUGGGUUUAAAGGGUCCGUAGGCGGGCGGCUAAGUCAGUGGUGAAAGUCUGUGGCUCAACCAUAGAAUUGCCAUUGAUACUGGUCGUCUUGAAUCAAUGUGAAGUGGUUAGAAUGAGUAGUGUAGCGGUGAAAUGCAUAGAUAUUACUCAGAAUACCGAUUGCGAAGGCCCGCG